rnacentral:rRNA from 1 species
UUGAACUCGGAUCAGGUAGGAAUACCCGCUGAACUUAAGCUU